AGGGGACAAGCAGAGACUCAACACACAUUCUCAUUCGCAUAAUUUUUGUUUUUGAGUUUUUAGAUCUGAUUUUACUCCUCCUCUAGGUUUUCUCUCUACACAUUUAUAGUUCUUAGAAUUUUGCUUUAUUCCUUUUUGGAUUAGGAUAUUGAGAAGAGUUAUUACCUCUGCCAAGACUUCAUCAUUCUAAUUUGUUUCCUUACUUUUUACCUACUCUUUCACAUCCUUAAUUUAUUCAGAGUUACAAUUGGAUUAUUUUUAUAAUUUAUUAAUACAAGAACCAUUUUUAUUUUUAAUUGAUCUUUUUGAUUAUUGAUUAUCAUGUCUUUCUUUAUUUUCCUUUUUAAUUUCGUGAAGUUUACAUUUAUGAUAAUGGAGUAAUUCCCUAACUUGAUUGGGAGUUGAUUGAAAGGAGAACCUUGAGUUGGAUUACUCAAGAGUUAAAUUGUAAUUGGGUUUAU